rnacentral:rRNA from 1 species
UGCAGUCGAGCGGACAGAAGGGAGCUUGCUCCCGGAUGUUAGCGGCGGACGGGUGAGUAACACGUGGGUAACCUGCCUGUAAGACUGGGAUAACUCCGGGAAACCGGAGCUAAUACCGGAUAGUUCCUUGAACCGCAUGGUUCAAGGAUGAAAGACGGUUUCGGCUGUCACUUACAGAUGGACCCGCGGCGCAUUAGCUAGUUGGUGGGGUAAUGGCUCACCAAGGCGACGAUGCGUAGCCGACCUGAGAGGGUGAUCGGCCACACUGGGACUGAGACACGGCCCAGACUCCUACGGGAGGCAGCAGUAGGGAAUCUUCCGCAAUGGACGAAAGUCUGACGGAGCAACGCCGCGUGAGUGAUGAAGGUUUUCGGAUCGUAAAGCUCUGUUGUUAGGGAAGAACAAGUGCGAGAGUAACUGCUCGCACCUUGACGGUACCUAACCAGAAAGCCACGGCUAACUACGUGCCAGCAGCCGCGGUAAUACGUAGGUGGCAAGCGUUGUCCGGAAUUAUUGGGCGUAAAGGGCUCGCAGGCGGUUUCUUAAGUCUGAUGUGAAAGCCCCCGGCUCAACCGGGGAGGGUCAUUGGAAACUGGGAAACUUGAGUGCAGAAGAGGAGAGUGGAAUUCCACGUGUAGCGGUGAAAUGCGUAGAGAUGUGGAGGAACACCAGUGGCGAAGGCGACUCUCUGGUCUGUAACUGACGCUGAGGAGCGAAAGCGUGGGGAGCGAACAGGAUUAGAUACCCUGGUAGUCCACGCCGUAAACGAUGAGUGCUAAGUGUUAGGGGGUUUCCGCCCCUUAGUGCUGCAGCUAACGCAUUAAGCACUCCGCCUGGAGAGUACGGUCGCAAGACUGAAACUCAAAGGAAUUGACGGGGGCCCGCACAAGCGGUGGAGCAUGUGGUUUAAUUCGAAGCAACGCGAAGAACCUUACCAGGUCUUGACAUCCUCUGACAACCCUAGAGAUAGGGCUUUCUCUUCGGGGACGGAGUGACAGGUGGUGCAUGGUUGUCGUYACCUCUUGUCGUGAGAUGUUGGGUUAAGUCCCGA